UGGUUACCUAGCAACGCAGCCACUGAGAUUGCCGAGGAGACCAAGAGGAGUGACCUAAAUCAUGCCACGGAACUCCUCCUCUCUUCCUGCUGGUGGAGGUGCCAGAUAUAUUGAUAUCCGCUCCGCCUCACCUUCUGCACACAAUCGCAGGUGGGAAGAAGCUGUCGCAAGCCACUGCGAGCCGUCUGCCCAGGCUCCACAUGAGCUCCAGCACCUCGCCACCCCGACGGCCUCGCCCUAUCUGUGUUCUGAACUCUGAGCCUCGACAAGACCCUGCAGAGUGCAGAGCCAGGCAUCCUCGGCCCCAACACCCUCAGUGCCCAGCUCCG